rnacentral:rRNA from 1 species
AGAGCAAACCGGGGGAACUGAAACAUCUAAGUACCCCGAGGAGAAGAAAUCAACCGAGAUUCCGGUAGUAGCGGCGAGCGAACCUGGAUUAGCCCUUAAGCACUCGUUGAAGUAGGUGAACAAGCUGGAAAGCUUGGCGAUACAGGGUGAUAGCCCCGUAACCGACGCUUCAUCGAGCGUGAAAUCGAGUAGGGCGGGACACGUGAUAUCCUGUCUGAAUAUGGGGGGACCAUCCUCCAAGGCUAAAUACUCCUGACUGACCGAUAGUGAACCAGUACCGUGAGGGAAAGGCGAAAAGAACCCCUGUGAGGGGAGUGAAAUAGAACCUGAAACCGUGUACGUACAAGCAGUAGGAGCACCUUCGUGGUGUGACUGCGUACCUUUUGUAUAAUGGGUCAGCGACUUAUAUUCAGUGGCAAGGUUAACCGUAUAGGGGAGCCGUAGCGAAAGCGAGUCUUAACUGGGCGUUCAGUCUCUGGAUAUAGACCCGAAACCGGGUGAUCUAGCCAUGGGCAGGUUGAAGGUUGAGUAACAUCAACUGGAGGACCGAACCGACUAAUGUUGAAAAAUUAGCGGAUGACUUGUGGCUAGGGGUGAAAGGCCAAUCAAACUCGGAGAUAGCUGGUUCUCCCCGAAAGCUAUUUAGGUAGCGCCUCGGACGAAUACUACUGGGGGUAGAGCACUGUUAAGGCUAGGGGGUCAUCCCGACUUACCAACCCUUUGCAAACUCCGAAUACCAGUAAGUACUAUCCGGGAGACACACGGCGGGUGCUAACGUCCGUCGUGGAGAGGGAAACAACCCAGACCGCCAGCUAAGGUCCCAAAGUAUUGCUAAGUGGGAAACGAUGUGGGAAGGCUCAGACAGCUAGGAUGUUGGCUUAGAAGCAGCCAUCAUUUAAAGAAAGCGUAAUAGCUCACUAGUCGAGUCGGCCUGCGCGGAAGAUGUAACGGGGCUAAGCAAUACACCGAAGCUGCGGCAAUAUCUUUUAGAUAUUGGGUAGGGGAGCGUUCUGUAAGCCGUUGAAGGUGAAUCGUAAGGUUUGCUGGAGGUAUCAGAAGUGCGAAUGCUGACAUGAGUAACGACAAGGGGGGUGAAAAACCUCCCCGCCGGAAGACCAAGGGUUCCUGUCCAACGUUAAUCGGGGCAGGGUGAGUCGACCCCUAAGGCGAGGCCGAAAGGCGUAGUCGAUGGGAAACGGGUUAAUAUUCCCGUACUUCUUACAAUUGCGAUGGGGGGACGGAGAAGGCUAGGUGGGCCAGGCGACGGUUGUCCUGGUUCAAGUGCGUAGGCUUAAGAGUUAGGUAAAUCCGGCUCUUUCUAAGGCUGAGACACGACGUCGAGCACCUACGGGUGUGAAGUCAUUGAUGCCAUGCUUCCAGGAAAAGCCUCUAAGCUUCAGAUUGUAAGGAAUCGUACCCCAAACCGACACAGGUGGUCGGGUAGAGAAUACCAAGGCGCUUGAGAGAACUCGGGUGAAGGAACUAGGCAAAAUGGUACCGUAACUUCGGGAGAAGGUACGCUCUUGAUGGUGAAGUCCCUCGCGGAUGGAGCUGACGAGAGUCGCAGAUACCAGGUGGCUGCAACUGUUUAUUAAAAACACAGCACUGUGCAAAAUCGCAAGAUGACGUAUACGGUGUGACGCCUGCCCGGUGCCGGAAGGUUAAUUGAUGGGGUUAGCGCAAGCGAAGCUCUUGAUCGAAGCCCCGGUAAACGGCGGCCGUAACUAUAACGGUCCUAAGGUAGCGAAAUUCCUUGUCGGGUAAGUUCCGACCUGCACGAAUGGCGUAAUGAUGGCCACGCUGUCUCCACCCGAGACUCAGUGAAAUUGAAAUCGCUGUGAAGAUGCAGUGUACCCGCGGCUAGACGGAAAGACCCCGUGAACCUUUACUACAGCUUGGCACUGAACAUUGAACCUACAUGUGUAGGAUAGGUGGGAGGCUAUGAAGACGUGACGCUAGUUGCGUUGGAGCCGUCCUUGAAAUACCACCCUUGUAUGUUUGAUGUUCUAACUUAGACCCGUUAUCCGGGUUGAGGACAGUGCCUGGUGGGUAGUUUGACUGGGGCGGUCUCCUCCCAAAGAGUAACGGAGGAGCACGAAGGUGGGCUAAUCACGGUUGGACAUCGUGAGGUUAGUGCAAUGGCAUAAGCCCGCUUAACUGCGAGAAUGACGGUUCGAGCAGGUGCGAAAGCAGGUCAUAGUGAUCCGGUGGUUCUGUAUGGAAGGGCCAUCGCUCAACGGAUAAAAGGUACUCCGGGGAUAACAGGCUGAUACCGCCCAAGAGUUCAUAUCGACGGCGGUGUUUGGCACCUCGAUGUCGGCUCAUCACAUCCUGGGGCUGAAGUCGGUCCCAAGGGUAUGGCUGUUCGCCAUUUAAAGUGGUACGCGAGCUGGGUUUAGAACGUCGUGAGACAGUUCGGUCCCUAUCUGCCGUGGGCGUUGGAAGAUUGAAGGGGGCUGCUCCUAGUACGAGAGGACCGGAGUGGACGAACCUCUGGUGUUCGGGUUGUGUCGCCAGACGCAUUGCCCGGUAGCUAAGUUCGGAAUCGAUAACCGCUGAAAGCAUCUAAGCGGGAAGCGAGCCCUGAGAUGAGUCUUCCCUGACAGUUUAACUGUCCUAAAGGGUUGUUCGAGACUAGAACGUUGAUAGGCAGGGUGUGUAAGCGUUGUGAGGCGUUGAGCUAACCUGUACUAAUUGCCCGUGAGGCUUAACCAUACAACACCCAAGGGGUUUUGUA